rnacentral:rRNA from 1 species
GACGAACGCUGGCGGCGUGCUUAACACAUGCAAGUCGAACGAUGAAGCUAGAGCUUGCUCUGGUGGAUUAGUGGCGAACGGGUGAGUAACACGUGAGUAACCUGCCCCGAACUCUGGGAUAACUGCUGGAAACGGUAGCUAAUACCGGAUAUGACCAAUGAAGGCAUCUUCUGUUGGUGGAAAGAAUUUCGGUUCGGGAUGGACUCGCGGCCUAUCAGCUAGUUGGUGAGGUAACGGCUCACCAAGGCGACGACGGGUAGCCGGCCUGAGAGGGUGACCGGCCACACUGGGACUGAGACACGGCCCAGACUCCUACGGGAGGCAGCAGUGGGGAAUAUUGCACAAUGGGCGCAAGCCUGAUGCAGCAACGCCGCGUGAGGGAUGACGGCCUUCGGGUUGUAAACCUCUUUUAGUAGCGAAGAAGCGAAAGUGACGGUACCUGCAGAAAAAGCACCGGCUAACUACGUGCCAGCAGCCGCCGUAA